UGCAAGUCGAGCGGCAGCACGGGGAGCUUGCUCCCUGGUGGCGAGCGGCGGACGGGUGAGUAAUGCAUAGGAAUCUGCCCGGUAGUGGGGGAUAACCUGGGGAAACCCAGGCUAAUACCGCAUACGUCCUACGGGAGAAAGCAGGGGAUCUUCGGACCUUGCGCUAUCGGAUGAGCCUAUGUCGGAUUAGCUGGUUGGUGAGGUAAUGGCUCACCAAGGCGACGAUCCGUAGCUGGUCUGAGAGGAUGAUCAGCCACACUGGGACUGAGACACGGCCCAGACUCCUACGGGAGGCAGCAGUGGGGAAUAUUGGACAAUGGGCGCAAGCCUGAUCCAGCCAUGCCGCGUGUGUGAAGAAGGCCCUCGGGUUGUAAAGCACUUUCAGCGAGGAAGAAGGCUUGGCGGUCAAUACCCGUCAAGAAGGACAUCACUCGCAGAAGAAGCACCGGCUAACUCCGUGCCAGCAGCCGCGGUAAUACGGAGGGUGCGAGCGUUAAUCGGAAUUACUGGGCGUAAAGCGCGCGUAGGUGGUUUGGCACGCCGGUUGUGAAAGCCCCGGGCUCAACCUGGGAACGGCAUCCGGAACGGCCAGACUAGAGUGCAGGAGAGGAAGGUAGAAUUCCCGGUGUAGCGGUGAAAUGCGUAGAGAUCGGGAGGAAUACCAGUGGCGAAGGCGGCCUUCUGGCCUGACACUGACACUGAGGUGCGAAAGCGUGGGUAGCAAACAGGAUUAGAUACCCUGGUAGUCCACGCCGUAAACGAUGUCGACUAGCCGUUGGGACCUUUAAGGACUUAGUGGCGCAGUUAACGCGAUAAGUCGACCGCCUGGGGAGUACGGCCGCAAGGUUAAAACUCAAAUGAAUUGACGGGGGCCCGCACAAGCGGUGGAGCAUGUGGUUUAAUUCGAUGCAACGCGAAGAACCUUACCUACCCUUGACAUCCAGAGAACUUGGUAGAGAUACCUUGGUGCCUUCGGGAACUCUGAGACAGGUGCUGCAUGGCUGUCGUCAGCUCGUGUUGUGAAAUGUUGGGUUAAGUCCCGUAACGAGCGCAACCCUUGUCC
rnacentral:rRNA from 1 species